rnacentral:rRNA from 1 species
AUACGUAGGUCCCGAACGUUGCGCGAAAUUACUGGGCGUAAAGGGUCCGUAGGCGGUCUGGUAAGUGGAAGGUGAAAGCCUGGGGCUCAACUCCAGAAUUGCCUUCCAAACUGCCGGACUUGAGGCAGGGAGAGGUCGGCGGAAUUCCCGGUGUAGUGGUGAAAUGCGUAGAUAUCGGGAGUAACACCAGUGGCGAAGGCGGCCGACUGGAACUGUCCUGACGCUGAGGGACGAAAGCCAGGGGAGCGAACCGGAUUAGAAACCCCUGUAGUCC